GGUGAACGCUAGCUACAGGCAUAACACAUGCAAGUGGAGGGACCGGCGCACGGGUGAGUAACACGUAUCUAAUCCUCCCUUUACUAGGGGAUAGCCUUACGCAAGAGAGAAUAAUACCCGAUGUAAAGCAUGCGGAUGGUUUCCAUUAGGUUGUGGGUGAGGUAACCGCUAACCAAGCGUUCGAUAGAUAGGGGGUCGGAGAGGAAGUUCCCCUACAAUUGAAGUGAGAUACUGUCCAAACUCCUACGGGAGGAAGCAGUGAGGAAUAUUUGUCAAGGGGCGUUAGCCUGAACCAGCCAAGUAGCGUGAAGGAUGAAGGCUUAGGGGUCGUAAACUUCUGUUAUAGAAGAAUAUGUAUUAUAUGAAUAAGGAUCGGCUAACUCCGUGCCAGCAGCCGCGGUAAUAC
rnacentral:rRNA from 1 species